AGCGUAGGUGGCCUAACAUGUCAACUGUGAAAACCCGGAGCUCAACUCCGGACUUGCAGUUGAAACUGGUAGGCUUGAGGACGGUAGAGGAAGACGGAACUGCCAGUGUGGGGGUAAAAUCCUUAGAUAUUGGCAGGAACGCCGGUGACGAAGGUGGUUUUCUGGGCCGGUUCUGACACUGAUGCUCGAAAGCCAGGGGAGCGAACG
rnacentral:rRNA from 1 species